rnacentral:tRNA from 1 species
GGCGGAGUGGUGUUGUAGUUAGCAUAUACCCGACCAGAUAUUGGGAGGCCCGGAGUUCAAAUCCCGGCUCCGCUA